rnacentral:lncRNA from 1 species
AAAGGGACGUGGAUAAAAGGAGGGAUGAUAGAUAGAAGGAAGAUGAAUAAGAAAGAUAUAGGAUUCCAAUGUAUAUGGUCUAUGAAUUACAUCAUAAAAAAAGCAAUGUGAUAAAGCAUCAAUAUAAUAAAAUAAUAAUAAAAAUGAGAAUUCGAAAUCGUAACUUUCGAAACAACAAAUAAAAAUUUAAAGAAAUAAAAAAGAGCAGCCCGCGUUAAUAAAACUGAGAAAAUUGACUCGGAAAGAAGUUUUUUGGAAGCUCCAUUGCAGGAUUCAAACCU